GAAAAUAUCAAUAAAUAGAUUGUGAUUCAGCUAUCUCCCAGUGGAAUUUUAAGUGAGUUAUUAUGACAAUAGUAUGGUGAGUAGCACAGUGUCUAGUUGCGAGGUGAGCGUCAGCUACGGAGAGUGAGGGCUCUGGUCCAGGCUGCAGGCUGUGGGCUGCAAAUUGCUGGAGGUUGAGCAUCCUGUGAGCAGUGGCUGAGUGUUGACCUGGCUCCAGAUCCAUCGCUGCGAUCAGCUGCUUUGUGCUCUGCCGAGAGUCACUUCGACCUGUCGGAAGGAGGCAUCUAUUGUAAAUUGUGCUAGAAUGUGAUAUUUCUUGCUGAUGUUAAACAACGUGGGGUGCACUGUCUCAGGGAGCCAGCCACCAUGGCCUGCAGUUCUGGGCCCUUCCACGUGGGACCAGAAGCUCCCUGGGAGAACGGGAUCCUCUGGCAGUAGGAAUAAAGAGCUGAAGGUAUUGGUUGGCCACUCGUGCAAGGCAAAGCUAAAGUCUACAUUGAUUCAGCACGUGGAAGAUGUGGACGCCUAGGUAAGCUUUAAAUAUAAGCCUGACAGCAAAUGAAAGGACUGCAAGGACAUUGUUAUUUAACCGUGGCCUCUGCAAUGACUAUGCAUAGGGGCUCUAAA
rnacentral:lncRNA from 1 species